AACGAACGCUGGCGGCAGGCCUAAAACAUGCAAGUCGAACGCCCCGCAAGGGGAGUGGCGCACGGGUGAGUAACGCGUGGGAACGUGCCCUUCAGUACGGGACAACGUCGGGAAACUGACGCUAAUACCGUAUAAUAUCUCCGGAUUAAAGAUUUAUCGCUGAGGGAGCGGCCCGCGUCUGAUUAGCUAGUUGGUGAGGUGAUGGCUCACCAAGGCUACGAUCAGUAGCAGGUCUGAGAGGAUGAUCUGCCACACUGGGACUGAGACACGGCCCAGACUCCUACGGGAGGCAGCAGUUAGGAAUAUUGGACAAUGGGGGAAACCCUGAUCCAGCCAUGCCGCGUGUGUGAUGAAGGCCCUAGGGUUGUAAAGCACUUUCGUUGGGGAUGAUAAUGACCGUACCCAAAGAAGAAGCCACGGCUAAAUUCGUGCCAGCCGCCGCGGUAA
rnacentral:rRNA from 1 species